rnacentral:lncRNA from 1 species
GGCUGUUAGGAGAAUGCUCAUCAUGGAACCAAUGUUAUGAUAAAGUGCAAGGGGAACCUUGAUGGAUUCCAUGGCAGGGUCUCAUGUAUCCCAGUUUGGCCUUGAAUUCACUGUGUAACUGAGGAUGACCUUGAGCUUCGGAUAGUCUCACCUCCUCCUCCCAAGUGCUGGCCUCACAGCAUAAUCCACUAGCAUCAUCCACCAGCAUCAGCAUCAUCCACCAGCAUCAGCAUCAUCCAUCAACAUCUACAUUAUCCACCAGCAUCAUCUACCAGCAUCAUCCACCAGAAUCAUCCCCCACACCUGAUGUGAAGGAGACAUGUGGUUUCAGUAUUCAAAAUGCCUACACCAGAAUCUCAAGCACCUGUGUUUGACUAACCAGGAAAAGCCAACCUGAAACAACCCUAGGAGGACACAGAUGUCACUCUUAAUGACUUUGAAAACUCAGAUGAUAUGAAGACAUUGUAAUGAGGACACCGGAAGAGUCACUGUUGAUAAAUCUGGUCUUUUUUUUUUUUGGUGGUGGUGGUGGUUGAGCCAGGCUGGCCUUGAACUCACAGAGAUCUGCCUGCCUCUGCCUCCCGAGUGCUGGGAUUAAAGGCAUGCACCACCACCGCCCAGCUCAAUAAACCUGGUCUUAAAUUUUUUCUAAUGGCAUAUUUUAGAUGAAGGGAAAUGCUACCGGGGGCAAGAUGUAAACAUUUAGAAUGAUAAAAGUAAAUGUUUGGGUAGGUUUAACAGACUUUUGUUUUUGUUUGUUUGUUUGUUUGUUUGUUUGUUUGAGAUAGAUAAGGUCUUGCUACAGGGCACAGGAUGACCC